rnacentral:rRNA from 2 species
GAAGAGCCCAAGUUUGAAAGCUGGCGUUUGUAUUCAGACGUCCGCAUUGUAAACUCGAGAAGUGUUAUCCGCGCCGGACCAGGUUUAAGUCCCUUGGAAUAGGGCAUCAUAGAGGGUGAAAGUCCCGUGCUUGAUCUGGAACCCCCGGGGCUUUGUGAUGCGCUCUCAAAGAGUCGAGUUGUUUGGGAAUGCAGCUCAAAAUGGGUGGUAAAUGCCAUCUAAGGCUAAAUAUCGAGGAGAGACCGAUAGCGAACAAGUACCGUGAGGGAAAGAUGAAAAGAACUUUGGAAAGAGAGUUAAACAGUACGUGAAAUUGCCGGAAGGGAAGGGUAGGAAGUCAGACAUGCCUUUGCAGAUUCAGCCUUGUCUUUGGACUUGGUGCAUUUUUGUAAUGGCAGGCCAGCGUCGGUUUGUGUCGCCGGAUAUAGGUUUAGGGAAUGUGGCUUUACCUUCGGGCAAAGUGUUAUAGCCCUUUACUAAGUACGGCGGUGUGGACCGAGGUACGCAGCGCACCCAUUAGGGCGGGCCUUCGGGCACCUUUGCGCUUAGGAUGCUGGCUUAAUGGCUUUCUGCCACCCGUCUUGAAACACGGACCAAGGAGUCUAACAUGCAUGCGAGUCUUUGGGUGGCAAACCCAUGGGCGAAAUGAAAGUGAAUUUUAAGGUGGGAUCCCUUGCGGGUGCACCAUCGGCCGACUUUGAACCUUUCAUGGGGACGAGUUUGAGCAAGAGCAUUUAUGUUGGGACCCGAAAGAUGGUGAACUAUGCCUGAAUAGGGCGAAGCCAGGGGAAACUCUGGUGGAGGCUCGUAGCGGUUCUGACGUGCAAAUCGAUCGUA